GAUGAACGCUGGCGGCGUGCCUAAUACAUGCAAGUCGAGCGAACGAACGGGGCUUUUGCCCCUCUUCCGUUGCCGACGGGCGAGUAAUUACUACGAAGCUGCCCGGCCUAGGGGGCUAACAUACGGUCACGGGCGCUAAUCUCGUACCCGUUAUGAGAUUGAAAGUCGGGGUUCUUUGGUCCUCACGCGAUCAGAUGACCCUAGGCCGGAUUAGCUAGUUGGUGGGGUAAAGGCCUACCAAGGCGACUAUCCGUAACUGGUCUGAGAGGCUGAUCAGUCACACUGGAACUGAGACACGGUCCAGACUCCUACGGGAGGCAGCAGUAGGGAAUAUUGGGCAAUGGGCGAAAGCCUGACCGAGCAAUGCCGCGUGAGUGAUGAAGGUCUUCGGAUUGUAAAGCUCUGUAAGUUGGGAAGAAGGACAGUGAAUUAAUACCUGGAUGUUUUGACGUUACCAACAGAGUAAGCACCGGCUAACUUCGUG
rnacentral:rRNA from 1 species